AGAAUAAGCUGUUCUAAACAGAUGUGUUUUGAGUUUAAACUUUCUUUUACAAUUGAAAUCCAAACUCAAAACACAUCUGUUUAGAACAGCUUAUUC
rnacentral:pre_miRNA from 1 species